GUCUUCCAGUGCAGAGAUAUUGAUUUCAGUUUCUUUCAAACUCAGCAGCCCACCUCACUGCAUGGGCGGCACAGACAGGUAAUUACUUUUCCAGCAGAUAGCACGAUAGGGCCUAACAGGAUGCAAAUACACACAAAUCAACAGCACGGGUGUCUUGCAGGCUAGUUUUUAAUGCAUAACAUAAUUACAAAGCUAUUGUUGCGUUAAAUGCUUAUUACAAAGUGGUUUGUCAGCGCCAGACAGUCAUGCAUACGCAGUAAUGACACAUAAUCUGCCUAAAUGUUGUGAUUUUUGCUAAAAUUGCGGUGAAAAUUGUUUUUCAAUUUUAAAGAAAAUCCAUCUGUGACCUUUGCUUUUCAAUUUAUUGUGCAAGCAAAAUAGAUAUGCCUAUUUAUGUCACGCCGUACCUUUCGCUGAUUUGAAUGCACUCUUGGGGAGUUCAGAGGUCUGGUUGCGAUUUUUGCUUUUGGCAAGAUGAAGUAGACGUGCUCGCCGGAUAUACCGGCAGGUAAAAAAAAAAAGGAAAAAGAAAAGAUGAGGCAUUGUGAGCUGAAAGUCUCAUCAUUGAUUGAACACACAAGCUGACUUUAACUGCCCAAAUGUUUACUUCGGCUUAAAAUCUCUCACUUAAAACAGGCAGCAGCCUCAGGUAAAGCCUUCAUAUCUGAAACCAGUUUGAAAAACAACAAAUACUCCAACUGGCUAAACCUGGAUUUGUCCACAGUGGGAAGAAAAGAAUCAAUCCCCCACCCCAACAAAAAAAUCAAUGUACCGUGUUUAUCCAUGUGUAGCUAAAUGUGUGUAUGUGUGUGCUUGUUUCUGUCUCAUCUCUUCCUCAUAGCUUAAUUGAAAAAAGGGAAAAAUGCACAGCCACUGAAUAAUCACAAUCCCUGCUGAAAUGGCAAUGCUUUAUAAAUUACAAUCAUCUCUCGCUGCUCAGACAUUAACAAAUGAGUAUCGACUGAGUGUGCAACAGAUGGACCGAGGGUCUUAUAGACUAUACUGUAUGCCGCAAAUGUCAGCUAUAGGUGCGUUUGUUGCUCAUCACGCUUUCAUAAUGCAGUGUGUUGUGUUUAAACGCGCAGGAGGAUUAGUCCUGUUAGUGGUAAUGGUGUUAAUAUUUGAAGCCACAGCUUGGAGCAAUUACAGUCUAAUUAUUUU
ensembl:lncRNA